rnacentral:rRNA from 1 species
CUAAACUGAGGAAAGUCGGCCGAAACUGAUCGACUCGAGGAACGUAGAGGGAAGCGGAACUCUCGGAGCAGCGGUGAAAUGCGUAGAGACCGAGAGGUACCCCGAUGGUGAAGACAGCUUCCUGGGCGUUUCCUGACGCUGAAGCACUAAGGCCAGGGGAGCGAAGGGGAUUAGAUACCCCCGUAGUCCUGGCUUCAAACGAUGUGGGCUUGGUGUCGGCCCCCGACAGAGGGUCGUUGCCGGAGCUAACGUGUUAAGCCCACCGCCUGGGGAUUACGUCCGCAAGGAUGAAACUCAAGGGAAUUGACGGGGGCCCACACAACCGGUGGAGCACGUGGUUUAAUUCGAUGAUAAGCGAAGAACCUUACCAGGGCUUGACCUAGCGGUAGUAGAAUCCUGAAAGGGAAACGACCUCAAGCUUUGCUUGAGGAGCC